rfam:Arabis alpina cultivar Pajares scaff_60169_1_contig_0, whole genome shotgun sequence.
GGGUGUGAUCAUACAAGCAAUAAUGCACCGGAUCCCAUCAGAACUCCGUAGUCAAGCGUGCUUGGGCGAGAGUAGUACUAGGAUGGGUGACCUCCUGGGAAGUCCUCGUGUUGCACCCC